rnacentral:lncRNA from 1 species
AUCAGGAGACACACCCACCCACCAGCUCUGGAGGCACGCAGGCAAACUUUGGGAAAUUUUGUGGGGGCAGAGGAGCCAUGAGAGUGAGAUGGAGCCACAUGGUGAGAUGCGUUCCGUGGUAGAUACUGUGGUGGGCCCCUGGCCUCAGUUUUGUCACCUGGAAACAAUGUGAAGAGUGCCACAGACCCUGGAAAAUGGGCAGACCAAGCUCAUGCCUCUCACCUCCUCUGCUGAUGUCACCACUACUGAGCUCCCUUGGGGCCUUCCUACAUCCCAGCUGGUCCCUGAGCACUCUGAGAUGACCAUUGCCUGUGCCAUACUGCUGAAGUCUAGCCUGGAAUCAGAGAGAGAAAGCCCCAGGAGCUCACCCCAGGAAUGUCUAGUUAGGCACCCUCUGCUCAAUUUCCAUUGGUCCCUAAGUCACAAUGCAGCCUAGAUUUCCCAGGUCCAAGAGCAUAGCCCAGUCCCACCCAGGCCCUGACAAAUCCCUUCUCUGGGACUUUGCUGAGCUAGCUUGGAAUUUCUCAAAAACAAACAAAUGGGGGAGUCCAGAGCUGUGGUUCCCAGAGCUAAGAAAGGUUCUUCCUGCGUUGGCCUGAGUCUGAGCUGGCUGAGGUUCCAGGCCUGCUGGGCUAGACCCAAGCUCAGAACUUCAAGUCAGGGCAACACCACCCGGUCCUGCCCCUUAAUCAUCAGCUGAGAAUGGCAGGAGUCUGGGCGGUCAGUGAACAGGAUCCAGGACAGGGACAGACAGCCACUAGUGGCUGCCUGGGCUGAGGUAUCUUGGUAGGUGGCUGGGGCUUGUAUGGUGAGGGGUGGCCUGGAGCUUGUAUGGCCUGGCUUCAUGUGGAGGUAACUCAAGGCAGCCAUCAGGUGGCAGUGGUGUUGGGUCCUCAGCAGAACAGGGUAUAGAGAACUGGGAACCCCGAGGCCCAGAGGCCCUGCACAGUAUGCAACCUCACAGCAAGGCAAUGAUGGUGGCAGGCCUGUCCUGUCUAAGGAACACAGAGGCCAUGACAGGAAGAAUCCUGCCCCGUGUUUCUGUCACUAUGGAUCAGGAAGCAGCACACAGAUCACCACUUUCAUGUCUGUAACCCCAAUAGACAUCACCAGUGGAUCUCAGAUCUCUUUCUUUACUGGAUGGAAAGGCUCGGCUUAAGUUCCUCGGCUCAAAACCAGACCCUGGACAUGGACGUGCUCACCCAGAUGGUGCCUAGGUAGGGCAGCUGCUUGUUUAUUUGGUCCUGGUCUGGAAUGGAUUCAAGACUUCUGAUGGUCUUACCUGAGCGUGGAGACCUGGGAGAGGGACCGUCAGGUUGCAAGCCCCACAGGUCUCCUUCCCCUGUGCUCAAGGAGUGUCUUGCAGGGAGUGUCCGUAACUCCCUGCUGUCAGAAACUACCACCCAGGGAACAGAGCAGCAGGUGGGGGUCUGCUCUUCUGUGCUGGCCCUGCCCCCAUGAGGCUGAAUGGGCGCCUUGGUGCAGCUCCGGGGGCCCCAGAAACAUUUGCUUUAAGUCUUAAAAUAUCAGGUUCCCGAAUGGCGGGACUUCCCUGGGGGCUGGCAGCAGGCAGGAGGGAUUUUGAGAGUAAGAUUCCCUCUGGCUCCGCCCCAUUGGCUCCGCCCCAUUGGCCUCCACUGAAGCCAGGCAAAUGUUGUGGGUAAGCCAACAGGGCUCCGACUGGGCUCCCAUUCUCCUGCUGGAGGGAGCCUCCUACUCACUCGUCCAUCUCAGCUUCUCGGAUGCCCCUCUGUCCUCUUCACAAUGUGUGCCCUGGUGGAGGCCGGGCCCUGACAGCUUCCGUACCAAGCUUCAUAGCCAAAGCUUGAUUCUACAGGACCCAAUAACAUCUUCAGCUAAAGACGAUUUAGAUGAAGUGCUGUGUACCCUAAGCCUGUGUGCAGCCUUCUUUCAGACCAGAGAAACUAGGAAGAAAUGACACCAGGUUAAUAUGGAGCUUAGUACUCCCAGUGGCUUUCAAGCAAUAGGUAUAAUUGCACAGGGUCUUGAAGGGUGAGUAGGAGUUUCCAGAUGGCUCAGGUGGGGAGGCUCAUUGGCUCAAAGAUCUGGGUGGUACAAGCUGGUACCUGGUUCUUGGACUAGAAGGGAGACUCUGUGGGUACAGACAGGGACAGAGGGAUGUUCGAUCCACUUCUUAGAACAUAUAGGAGCUUGGCACGGGUGCCACCUGAGGAUGCAAUUGAGAGCUAUUAGAGAUUCAGGUAUUAAAAGCAGGGAGACCUUCUGCACACAAUCUGGGGGGCGGGUAAGAGAGUCUCCCCAACAGCUUGUUCUGUCCCUUAGCAUGAAAGCAACUUCCUCCUACUCCUGAUGCCCCAGGGACCACUGCCAGGAGGAAGGCACAGCCCCCACACAUCCCCACUCCCUCUCAGACAGACCACCAGCCUUGGCCCUAGGGACUCUCUUCCAUGCAGAGCGGGAAUUGGAGCCAGGCUGCAACAGCUGGGUCCACUCCUGCCCACCCCCCCAGGCCUACCACUUUCAUUCCCAGGCCCCCAGCCCAAGCCAUUCCCAGGCUGUAUCUGUCCCCAAACACACUGCUUGGGAUGUGGUCCGACCAGGCUUCCAGAAGACCACCAGUCAGGGUGUUGCCUUCCUCUGGCUCCCAGGAUGCAGAGUCUUAGGUUGGCAGGGUUUCUUAGGCUUGUUGUCACCAGGGUAAGCUAUAAAGAACAGAGGUCCCCUAGGGGACUCAACAGCUCCCCCAGAAAUAGCAAGAGGGAGGGACUGAGGGAAAAGGAGCGGGAGGGAGAGGGGAAGGGAGAGAGAAUAUAUCAUUCAAGGUAUACAAGACCUCCAACAGUUCAUUCUGGAAGCAGCUACCUAUAGAUUCAUGCAUGUAUUCAAACAGCCAGUCCUGGUUCCAACUGGUGGGUUCCACCAACCACAGAAUAAAAAUAUUUUAAAAGGU